UCAAUUUCGUUCGAAGCAGGGGGGGAGGUCGUCUCUAGGGCCAAUCGCUGUACAGGGUUAUGUCCUAAUAUGACGUCACGCGCGAUUUCGUGAAGAAGUCCUCAUGUCGAGAAUGGCUUCAAAGUGUUUGAUGUACAAAAUAUGCAUGUUUUUGGAGAAAGUGAACUUCGAACUUAAGAAAUAAUGUAGAGGAAGUCUCUGAGUAUUGUAUUUUGGAAAAAAAUAUAUGGANUUUNUANUCUACUGUUAAAUUUUAUGGGAAAGAAGACAGUUAGUCCGAAACAAAAUGGCGGAAAUUUUCAUUGCUCGGANACAUAAAUGUGGUGAUAUCUUGAGAUCUACGCAAGAACUCGUCACCAAAGGAGGAACAUUUGUAAAGUAAAGUCGGAGGAUUUUGGAAUUGUAUACAUCAAGCUUGUCGGAUCAGUGGAACUUCAUAUCUUUUGCUUUGAACACCGAGAGUGAUAAACAUGGAACGUGGAACGACCUGAGUGUAUUGAACUUGUGCUCCUAACUUACGUCACAUGGAAAACAUUGGUCCUAAAAGUUUACAAUAUAUUGCAAACACUAGUUCAGUGCUAGGUAUGCAUGUCAGCAAUCCUGCAGGAAUGUAAGUGAAUGACAGUAGCAGGGUUAUCUAGUUUGUUCUGCCUAAGUCACCUUCAACCAUCAACUAANGGCUUAGACAGUAAAGUACAUGUAACUUGAUUGCCCAAUUUGAAAAUACUAUUAAAAAGAUGAAAAUUCAGAAGAUU
rnacentral:lncRNA from 1 species